rnacentral:tRNA from 1 species
GGGGUUGUGACUCAACGGUAGAGCGCUCGCCUAGCUUGUGUGAGGCCCUGGGUUCGAUCCUCAGCACCACA